UGUAUAUUCAACUGAAGUUUGUUUAUUUUUCUUCACCAUUUUUUAAGAAAUUAUUAUUUUAAAGUCUACAUGUCCAUUCGAUGUAACGUUUUGUAUUUUUUUUAAGGCAGUUGUUAAAGGCUGGCAGUGGUAACAGGCCCUCCUUGCUGAUAAAGAAACAAAUUGUCCCAGGAAAAGAGGUGGCAGACGGAGCAGCCAAAACACAUGCACAGUGAAGUGGUAGAAGCCAUCCACGGGGCAGGAGAAGAUGCCAGUGUCAGGACUGUAGCCUCCUCCCUCGUUGACCAGCACAGUGGCAAACUUCAGGACUCCAGAGGAGCAGGGGUAGCUGUCCUCCACUUUCAGCUUGGCUGUGAAGGCAACAGUCCCUAGAAUGGGUUCACAGGAUUACAUCACCACGGUGCUGAAGGAGAGACGAGUUCAAUGCAGAUCAGUAAUCCAAUGCACGAUAUUUUAUUUAGUUUCAGACACGCUGCACUUGGAAUUUAAAAUGAGAGGAUCAGAAUGCAUGAGGAUGAUUAUCACGAUACUGUAUGAUGAUCAUAACAUGUGACAAUGACAGCUUUAUCUCAAAUAAAACCCAGUGAAGAUAGUAUCAUUAUCUUCUGUUGCAAAGAUGUCAUGUCGACCCUGCCCCCAUAAAUUAAUCCAGACCUCAUCUUUCUUGGACAGUUUGACCACGCUGCCGACACUGGCCACCUGGCUGCUGUUAUAACUGAGUCUAUCCGGCAGAUUCCUGUGAUACAGGGACACUACUUUCUCUCCGUUCUUGAAUAUGGCACACUGUCCGCAUCCGUACACCGUCAUGUGCACCAUGAAGUGAUAGAGGCCGUCCACGGGGCAGGAGAAGAUGCCUGUGUCAGGACUGUAGCCUCCUCCCUCGUUGACCAGCACGUUGGCAAACUUCAGGACUCCGGAGUGUUUUGGGUGGCUGUCGUCGAUUUUCAGCUUGGCCGUGAAGGCGACAGGUCUGCCUAAAGUGGGUGAAGUCAGUGCUGGUGAUUAGACAUAAAACAGUGUGAAUUUGUUUCAAGCUUCAUAGGUUCAGAGGUUACGAAGGCACUCUGUCAGCCACCCAUACAAGCAAUUCAAGCUCUUUUGUGUUCCUUCUCCGAAUAUCAAAAUGCAGCACUGUGUGACAACCUUGAAACUGUACGUACACUCCAAGCAGAAUGUGUACAUGGAUGCAGACAUUUUUUACAUCAUGAUGGCUGUACAGUCGGACAAAUGCACAUGUUUGUUGAUUAUUAAAAGCUUUUACCGUGUGA